rnacentral:misc_RNA from 1 species
UUUCCGUAGGUGAACCUGCGGAAGGAUCAUUAAUGAGUUGUCAUGGGGUUCGAUGCUGGCAGCCAAUUAUUGGAUGCAUGUGCUUGCCCUAACAAUCAUCUUCCAAACACCUGUGCACAUUUUUGAGGGAGUCUUGAGUUGGUUGCCGCUCUUGGGUGAUUUUCUCACAUUCCCUUAAAUCAUUAUACGCUAUUAACAAUGUUGAACGUGCUCUGUGCCGCAAGGCUAUUAAUAUAAUACAACUUUUAACAACGGAUCUCUUGGCUCUC